rnacentral:lncRNA from 10 species
GCAGUCCUCUGCAAGCACACUUAAUGUAUAAAAAAGCAGCCGGGCGCUGUGACUCACGCCUGUAAUCCCAACACUUUGGGAGGCCGAGGUGGGCGGAUCACUUGAGGUCAGGAGUUCUACAUCAGCCUGGCCAACAUGGUGAAACCCCUUCUCUACUAAAAAUACAAAGAUCAGCUGAGGGUGGUGGCGCGUGCCUGUAAUCCCAGCUACUCAGGAGGCUGAGGCAGGAGGAUCGCUUGAACCCAGGAGGUGGAGGUUGCAGUGAGCCCAGAUCUCGCCACUUCACUCCAGCCUGGGCAACAGAGACUCCGUCCAAAAAAAAGCCUGCAUAUAAUCUGGGCUUACAAGCACCAAGGACAUUCCUGCAGAUUACCCUCAGACACUGGAGGGAGCCGGAAGUACCUCGGAGUUUUAUGUUUCACCUCGUUCCACAACCCUGGAUAGCCAAAGACAGGCUGAUGAAGAGCACCAAAGCCCAGCUCCUUUGUGUUGAGGCAGGAAAAACUCUGAGGUGUGUUCUUUGUUCUAAAGCUUCCCGUGUGAUCAGGCUGAGUGUAGGACUUCGGAAAUCAUGCUCUCGCUUGGCUUCUUCCCAUUCCCUGUCCUUCAUCCCCCACUCCUUUACUGUUCUUUUCCUAGGAGCCCCCCACUUUUUUUUUUUUGAAACAGAGUUUCACUCUUCUUGCCCGGGCUGGAGUGCAAUGGCACGGUCUCGAAGAGCCCUUUCUUAACAAGUCAUUUGCAUCCAAAUCUUUGGCUCAGGGCCUGCUUUUGCAAGACUCCACCUAAGACACUCGCUGACUCUUCAGAUGAUGAAAAUGGCAUGCACACUUGCAGACAGCUAAGGAUUCUGUCUUCGUCUUUCUGUUGCUAUAGCAGAAUACCUGAGAUCAGGUAAUAUACAAAAAAAAGAGGCCAGGUGAGGUGGCUCAUGCCUGUAAUCCCAUCUUUUUGGGAGGCCGAAGACUGGAGGAUCUCUUGAGGCCAGGAGUUUGAGACCAGCCUUGGCAACAUAGUAAGAAUCUGUCUCUACAAAAAGUUUUUAAAAACUAGCGAUGCGGCCGGGCGCAGUGGUUCAUGCCUGUAAUCCCAGCACUUUGGGAGGCCAAGAUGGGUGGAUCAUGAGGUCAGGAGAUCGAGACCAUCCUGGCUAACACGGUGAAACCCUGUCUCUACUAAAAAUACAAAAAAUUAACCUGGCGUGGUGGCAGGCACCUGUAGUCCCAGCUACUUGGGAGGCUGAGGCAGGAGAAUGGUGUGAACCCAGGAGGCAGAGGUUGCAGUGAGCCGAGAUCGCACCACUGCACUCCAGCCUGGGUGACCUAGCAAGACUCCAUCUCAAAAAAAAAAAAAAAAAUUAGUGAUGCAUGGGGGUGUGCAUCUGUAAGCCCCGCUACUCAGGAUGCUGAAGCAGCAGGAUCACUUGAGCCCAAGAGUUUGAGGCUGCAAUGGCACAAUGGCAGAGCAAGAUCCUAUCUCAAAAAAAAGAAAGGAAGAAAAAUGUAUGGAAGAGGCUGAGAAGUUCAACAUUGAGGGGCUGUAUCUGGUUUGCUUUGGGUGAGGGCUUUGUUCCGCAUCAUAACAUGGGUAAAGAUAUCAGAGAGGCAUCAUAACAUGGCUAAAGAUAAAGAUUUAGAGGGGCACAAGAGAAAGAGCGAAACUGGCUUUUAUAACAGACCCAUUCUCAGGAUAACCCAUUAAUCCAUUAAUCCAUUCAUGAAGGAGCCCUCAUGACCCAGUCACCUCUUAAAUGCCCUACUUCUUAAUACUGUUAUAUUGAGGAUUAACUUUCUUUUCUUUGCCUCAUUAUUUUUUAUUUUUUAAUUUAAUUUAUUUUAGAUAGAUAGAUAGAUAGAUAGAUACAUAGAUACAUAGAUACAUAGAUACAUAGAUAGACAGAUAUGAGGUCUCACUAUAUUGCCCAGACUGCUCUUAAACUCCUCCUGGGUUCAAACAAUCCUCCUGCCUCCGCCUUCCAAGUAGCUGGGACCACAGGUGUGUGCUACCACACCCAGCUAAUUUUUGUUUGUUUGAUUUUGUAGAGAGGAGGACUCACUAUGUUGCCCAGGCUGGUCUCAAACUCCUGGGCUCAUGCGAUCCUCCAGUCUCAGCCUCCCAAAAUGCUGGGAUUAGAAGUGUGAGCCACUGUGCCCAGCCAGGAUUAAGUUUCAACAUGAAUUUCAGAAGGGACAAACAUUCGAGCCAUAAUAAAUGACGAGAAAACCACUUCAACUAUGCUGUGUCAUUCAGUGGCAGCAAAAGUCCUCUCAGUUUUUCUAAGUGAAAACAGUAAAAAGAGGAAGUGCCUGUAAUCCCAGCACUUUGGGAGGCCAAGGCGAGCAGAUCACGAGGUCAGGAGUUUGAGACCAGCCUGGCCAGCAUGGUGAAACCCCAUCUCUACCAAAAACACACACAUAAAAAAAUUAGUCAGGCAUGGUGGUGCAUGCCUGUAUUCCCAGCUACUCGGGAGGCUGAGGCAGGAGAAUCACUUGAACCCAGGAAGCAGAGGUUGCAGUGAGCCGAGAUUGCGCCACUGCACUCCAGCCUAGGCGAUACAGUGAGACUCUGUCUAAAGAAAAAAAAAAAAAAAAAAAAAGAGGAAGUGGUCCAUGUGGUCCGUGGGGGAGGGGAAGCCUGCACAUCAUUGCAGGCUUCACUUGGGCCUGUGUGUCUUACCAAAGACAUAGAUAACGCUUCAGUUUCUUAGGCUUUUUAAUCACCUAUGUUGUGGAGGACCAAAGAUGUCUAAUAAUUGCAUCCAACUAAUGACAGGAGAUAUAUAGAGUUUAGUGCAUAGUAAGUGCUUUAAUAUAUGCUCGACUGUUAUUUUAAUUGUAUUUAUCAGUUUUUUUUUCUGUUAGGCCUUCUUGUAGCUCUCCAAAGUACCAGAAUAAUUUCUAUGCACAAACUUUUCAAUCAAGGUAAUCACAGAUGUUUUAUUAUUUAUUUUGCGUUAUCUAGAACCCAAAUAUUAGCCUUCAAUUUUUUUCCUAUAGGUCUAGACUCCAGGGAAAGACAAUGCCAAUUUUUCCCCCUAAAACUUUGAUGGCUACAUCACAGACAAAAUAUUUUUUUAUUAUAGGAAAUGGCUGAGUGUGGUGGCUCUGUAAUCCCAGCACUUUGAGAGGCGAGACUGGAGGAUCGCUUGAACCCAAGAGUUCAAGACCAGCCAGGGAAACAUAGUGAGACCCCCAUCUCUACAAAAAAAUACACAAAAAAAAUUAGCCAGGAAUGGGUGGUGCACACCUGUGGUCUCAGCUACUUGGGAGGCUGAGAUGGGAGGAUUGCUUGAGUCCAAGAGGCUGAGGCUGCAGUGAGCCAAGAUUGUGCCUCUGCACACAAGCCUGGGUGACAGGGUAAUACCCUGUCUCA